UACGUAGGGUGCAAGCGUUAAUCGGAAUUACUGGGCGUAAAGCGUGCGCAGGCGGUUUUGUAAGUCUGUCGUGAAAUCCCCGGGCUUAACCUGGGAAUGGCGAUGGUGACUGCAAGGCUAGAGUUUGGCAGAGGGGGGUAGAAUUCCACGUGUAGCAGUGAAAUGCGUAGAGAUGGGGAGGAACACCGAUGGCGAAGGCAGCCCCCUGGGUCAAGACUGACGCUCAUGCACGAAAGCGUGGGGAGCAAACAGG
rnacentral:rRNA from 1 species